AUACGGAGGGUGCAAGCGUUACUCGGAAUCACUGGGCGUAAAGCGCGCGCAGGCGGUCUUUUGAGUUGGAUGUGAAAGCCUACGGCUCAACCGUAGAACUGCAUCCAAAACUAUUAGACUAGAGUGUGGGAGAGGAAGAUGGAAUUAGUUGUGUAGGGGUAAAAUCCGUAGAGAUAACUAGGAAUACCAAAAGCGAAGGCAAUCUUCUGGAACACUACGGACGCUGAGGCGCGAAAGCGUGGGGAGCAAGCGGGAUUAGAAACCCUAGUAGUCC
rnacentral:rRNA from 1 species